rnacentral:snoRNA from 1 species
UGUGGAGUGAUGAGUUGCACCUACCUGUGGGGUGGUUCUGCAGUGGCAAACUGCUCCACUCGGACUCCUGACGACAAGCUUGAGUGCACAGGGGCCAUCUGACCA